CGGGUGAGUAACACGUGGGCAACCUGCCUGUAAGACUGGGAUAACUCCGGGAAACCGGGGCUAAUACCGGAUAAUAUCUAUUUAUACAUAUAAUUAGAUUGAAAGAUGGUUCUGCUAUCACUUACAGAUGGGCCCGCGGCGCAUUAGCUAGUUGGUGAGGUAACGGCUCACCAAGGCGACGAUGCGUAGCCGACCUGAGAGGGUGAUCGGCCACACUGGGACUGAGACACGGCCCAGACUCCUACGGGAGGCAGCAGUAGGGAAUCUUCCGCAAUGGACGAAAGUCUGACGGAGCAACGCCGCGUGAGUGAUGAAGGUUUUCGGAUCGUAAAACUCUGUUGUUAGGGAAGAACAAGUACCGGAGUAACUGCCGGUACCUUGACGGUACCUAACCAGAAAGCCACGGCUAACUACGUGCCAGCAGCCGCGGUAAUACGUAGGUGGCAAGCGUUGUCCGGAAUUAUUGGGCGUAAAGCGCGCGCAGGCGGUUCCUUAAGUCUGAUGUGAAAGCCCACGGCUCAACCGUGGAGGGUCAUUGGAAACUGGGGAACUUGAGUGCAGAAGAGGAAAGUGGAAUUCCAAGUGUAGCGGUGAAAUGCGUAGAGAUUUGGAGGAACACCAGUGGCGAAGGCGACUUUCUGGUCUGUAACUGACGCUGAGGCGCGAAAGCGUGGGGAGCAAACAGGAUUAGAUACCCUGGUAGUCCACGCCGUAAACGAUGAGUGCUAAGUGUUAGAGGGUUUCCGCCCUUUAGUGCUGCAGCAAACGCAUUAAGCACUCCGCCUGGGGAGUACGCCCGCAAGGUUGAAACUCAAAGGAAUUGGCGGGGGCCCGCACAAGCGGUGGAACAUGUGGUUUAAUUCGAAGCAACGCGAAGAACCUUACCAGGUCUUGACAUCCUUUGACAAUCCUAGAGAUAGGACUUUCCCCUUCGGGGGACAGAGUGACAGGUGGUGCAUGGUUGUCGUCAGCUCGUGUCGUGAGAUGUUGGGUUAAGUCCCGCAACGAGCGCAACCCUUGAUCUUAGUUGCCAGCAUUUAGUUGGGCACUCUAAGGUGACUGCCGGUGACAAACCGGAGGAAGGUGGGGAUGA
rnacentral:rRNA from 1 species